CCGCCCGCGCUGCCCAACAUGGCGCUGGCUGCGGCCGAGCGGGGCCGCGGCUGCCUCGGGGCGCUGCGCCGGCUGCAAUGGAACCAAGUACGAAUAUUUGUGAAAUGGGCUUCAACGAUAGGAGGUCACAGCAUAGGGAAGAUCCUUAUUGCAAACCGAGGAGAAAUCGCCUGCAGGGUGAUGCGAACAGCCAAGAAAAUGGGGGUGAAGUCUGUGGCAGUUUAUAGUGAAGCAGACAGGAAUUCCAUGCAUGUUGCAAUGGCAGAUGAAGCAUAUUGCAUUGGUCCACCACCCUCACAGCAGAGUUACUUGGCCAUGGAGAAAAUACUGCAGGUGGCCAAGAUCUCAGCAGCACAGGCUAUUCAUCCGGGUUAUGGUUUCCUCUCGGAAAACACAGAGUUUGCAGAGCUGUGUAAGCAGCAGGGAAUCAUCUUCAUAGGUCCUCCUUCAUCUGCUAUCAGAGAUAUGGGUAUUAAAAGCACUUCCAAAGCUAUAAUGUCUGCUGCUGGCGUUCCUGUUGUUGAAGGUUAUCAUGGAGAAGAUCAGUCUGAUGAGUGUCUAAAGGAACAUGCCAGGAGAAUUGGAUACCCAGUAAUGAUUAAAGCUGUCCGUGGGGGUGGAGGGAAGGGCAUGAGGAUUGCUCAUUCAGAAAAGGAGUUUCUGGACCAACUAGAAUCAGCAAGGAGAGAAGCAAAGAAGUCUUUUAAUGAUGAUGCAAUGCUGAUUGAGAAAUUUGUAGAUAAUCCAAGGCAUGUUGAAGUCCAGGUAUUUGGUGACCAGCAUGGCAAUGCAGUGUAUUUGUUUGAAAGAGACUGCAGUGUACAAAGGAGGCAUCAGAAAAUCAUUGAAGAGGCACCAGGGCCAGGAAUUAGUCCAGAGGUUCGAAGGAGACUUGGAGAAGCUGCUGUCAAAGCAGCUAAAGCAGUGAAUUACGUGGGAGCAGGAACAGUCGAAUUUAUUAUGGACUCCCAACAUAAUUUUUAUUUCAUGGAGAUGAAUACCAGGCUGCAAGUAGAGCACCCAGUUACAGAGAUGAUCACUGGAACAGACUUGGUGGAAUGGCAGCUCAGGGUUGCAGCAGGAGAGAAGAUUCCUCUAAUGCAGGAAGAGAUCCUGCUCCAGGGCCAUGCAUUUGAAGCUAGAAUAUAUGCUGAAGACCCUAAUAAUAACUUUAUGCCAGGAGCUGGGCCACUGUUGCACUUAUCCACCCCCCCAGCAGAUCGUUUCACCAGGAUAGAGACUGGAGUCAGGCAAGGUGAUGAGGUUUCUGUGCAUUAUGACCCCAUGAUUGCAAAGCUGGUUGUUUGGGCUGAGGACCGACAGGCAGCUCUCAGAAAGCUGCGCUACAGUUUGCACCAGUACAAUAUUGUAGGACUAAGCACUAAUAUUGAUUUCUUACUGAGCCUGUCAGGACACCCACAGUUUGAGGCUGGAAAUGUGCACACUAAUUUCAUUCCUCAACACCAUGAUGAACUAUUUCCAGCCAAAAAGGCAACUCCACAUGAAGUUAUGUGUCAGGCAGCUCUAGGGCUCAUACUGAAAGAGAAGAUGCUAACAGAUGCUUUCAGAGAUCAGUCAGAUGAUAAAUUCUCACCAUUUGCAUCCAGCACUGGUAGAAGAAUAAAUAUAUGUUACACUAGAAAACUGUCUCUGCUGGAUGGGGAAAACAUUGUGGAUGUAGCUGUAACUUACAAUCAAGAUGGGUCAUACAAAAUGCAGAUUCAAGAUAAAGAGUUCCUGAUUUCUGGAGAGAUCUUGAAAGAAGGUGAUUCCCUUUACUUGAGGUCUUCAGUAAAUGGAACAGUGUCUAAGUCCAAGUUGGUCAUUUUGGACAACACCAUUUAUCUGUUCUUCCCGGAAGGCAGUGCUCAGAUUGGCCUCCCUGUGCCCAAAUACUUGUCUGCAGUGAGUUCAGGGGCAGAGCAAAGUGGAGCUGUGGCACCAAUGACAGGCACAGUAGAAAAGGUGUUUGUGAAGGCAGGGGAUAAGGUUCAGAUUGGAGACCCUCUAAUGGUUAUGAUAGCUAUGAAAAUGGAGCACACCAUAAGGGCUCCCAAGGCAGGAGUGAUUAAAAAGGUCAAUUUCCAAGAAGGUGCCCAGGCCAACAGGCAUGCUCCACUCGUUGAAUUCAUGGAUGAAGAGGCAGAGUCAAAAUAAAAUUCAAUGAAGGUGCAUUUUAUUUUUUCUACUUUGCUGAUUUUCUCCUGGAAGAAGAUUUCUUCAUAUUUUCAGCAAACUGUGGUUUGCGUGAGGAAAGGACUGGAAGAAGAUGUGAAACUCUGAAAGGUUCAGAGAGGUUAAUAAGGACUAUAAGGUACAGACAGGUUGGGUUCUUCUUAUUCACAGCUGCCUUUUUCCCCUUAAAUAUGUGAGGAUUGAUUUGAAGGAAAUCUAAAAGACUGUUUUUCUAUUUUCUGACAAAAUUCCUGUUUGUAUCUUAUGUUUCUGCCUUAAUAGGGAAUUCAGGAUUGUUCUUAGCCCAGAAUCCCUCUCAAUCAUUUCUGAUGCAUCUGUUUUUCCUGUUUACCUCAAUGAGUUGUGGAAAUUUGCAUUUCAAAAAUUAUUUUAAUAUACCUCAGAAUACGUGAUGCAAACCAUUUCUCAAAUACAUUUGCUACACUAAUCAAAGUUAAAAUGUAACUGCUUUCCAAAAAUACCAUUUGAACUUUAAACAUUAAGUAGUAACAUAGAAAUAUAAGCUUAUUUAAUACUUAGUGUGCCAAAAUACAAUACUGACUUCAAAAUCUUCAUUACUGUUACCAUAUUGUUCAUGUUCUAAUGUAUUUCUUAUUGGCUGGAAUGAAGUACACCACAGUCUUUAUAACAUGAAACAUUACUAAGAAUAAUGGAUUUUUUUUUUUUUUGUAUCUGCAGGGUUUCAGAAGGGAAAAUUGGUAGGUUUUUGGAUAUGCAAAAAAGAAUUCUCAGACUAAGCAUACUGAUAAUUUGCCAUAAAUUUAACUUAUUUAACCAGCACCUUAGAGAAACAAGGGAAAGAAAAAAAUGUUUUAAUUGUUGCAAACUUUGAAAGUCUUUUCAUUUUUUGGUUAAUGUGAAGUUCUGUUACCAUGUGAAGUUUUGAUAUGCUAAUUUAAUUAAAUAAUCUGUUUUCUACUGCAGAAAGGAACAAUCAGAUGCUGCAGUGAUCCCAAGCCUGUAGUUAAAUCUGUGCAAAUGGACCCUUACCUGAAAUCUCAUUUCUGAAUCAAUAUACAGUAUCAUGGGGAAUUCUCUGGUCUGCUUUUAUAAUUGUGCAGCCUUGUCUGCAAUGCAGAAAAAAAGUGAUGAAAAAGCAAUUACUCUGGAUGAUCAGUGUAUUAAAAACAUAUUUUAAUACUUCAUAAUUUUCCUUCCAAUCUUACGGUCACCUAGCAAAUAAUUAAAUUCCAGUGAUCAUCUUGUAGAAUAUUGCCACUGUUAUUUGUAUUUACUGCCAAAUAAAAAUCAAGCAUAACUUGGAA